CCUACGGGAGGCAGCAGUGAGGAAUAUUGGUCAAUGGACGAGAGUCUGAACCAGCCAAGUAGCGUGAAGGAUGACUGCCCUAUGGGUUGUAAACUUCUUUUAUAAAGGAAUAAAACGAGGCACGUGUGCCUUUUUGCAUGUACUUUAUGAAUAAGGAUCGGCUAAUUCCGUGCCAGCAGCCGCGGUAAUACGGAGGAUCCGAGCGUUAUCCGGAUGUAUUGGGUUUAAAGGGAGCGUAGAUGGGUUGUUAAGUCAGUUGUGAAAGUUUGCGGCUCAACCGUAAAAUUGCAAUUGAUACUGGCAGUCUUGAGUACAGUUGAGGUAGGCGGAAUUCGUGGUGUAGCGGUGAAAUGCUUAUAUAUCACGAAGAACCCCGAUUGCGAAGGCAGCUUACUAAACUGUGACUGACAUUGAUGCUCGAAAGUGUGGGUAUCAAACAGGAUUAGAUACCCUGGUAGUC
rnacentral:rRNA from 1 species